CACGCACGUGGUCAGCUCGCCGGGCGAGCACUGCGCAGCAAACGCAGAUCCGGGUGGUUCGACUCCACCGUGCGUGUCCA
rnacentral:tRNA from 1 species